UACGUAGGGGGCGAGCGUUGUCCGGAUUUAUUGGGCGUAAAGGGCGCGUAGGCGGCUUUUCAAGUGACGGGUGAAAUCCCUCGGCUUAACCGAGGAACUGCCUGUCAGACUGGAAGGCUUGAGACCGGGAGAGGUGAGUGGAAUUCCCAGUGUAGCGGUGAAAUGCGUAGAUAUUGGGAGGAACACCAGUGGCGAAGGCGGCUCACUGGACCGGAACUGACGCUGAGGCGCGAAAGCGUGGGGAGCAAACAGG
rnacentral:rRNA from 1 species